rnacentral:rRNA from 1 species
CUACGGGCCGCAGCAGUGAGGAAUAUUGCACAAUGGGUGGAACCCUGAUGCAGCAACGCCGCGUGGAGGAUGACGCAUUUCGGUGUGUAAACUCCUUUUAUAUGUCAAGAAAAUGACGGUAGCAUAUGAAUAAGCACCGGCUAACUCCGUGCCAGCAGCGCGCGGUAAUACGGAGGGUGCAAGCGUUACUCGGAAUCACUGGGCGUAAAGGACGCGUAGGCGGGUUGGAAAGUCAGGUGUGAAAUCCUACAGCUUAACUGUAGAACUGCACUUGAAACUUCUAAUCUAGAGUAUGGGAGGGGGAGAUGGAAUUAGUGGUGUAGGGGUAAAAUCCGUAGAUAUCACUAGGAAUACCUAAAGCGAAGGCGAUCUCCUGGAACAUUACUGACGCUAAGGCGUGAAAGCGUGGGGAGCAAACAGGAUUAGAUACCCGGGUAGUC